rnacentral:lncRNA from 1 species
AUGAUUUUGUGUAACCUAACUCCUGGCAUCCACUCACUUGCAUUUCCUGAUGCAGCCACACUGAGGUACCUGAAGCUGUCCCAAGAACAUACUGCAAUCGCUCAGCCCCGUGAAUUCACAUAUGCUGUUCAUUCUGCCUGGGAUACUUCUUCCAUCAGGUGGUGUUCCUCUAUAUUUGAGGCCUACAUCAGAAACUUAAUGUACAACUGGUAUAAAUUGACCAUUUUCAUCACCUUGGUGUUUUAGCAGGUGGUCUGCUCCAUGCUGGUUGCAGACUGAAUGAAAGCAGACAACAUUUUGAAACUAAUUCCUGAAGGUGAUGGAAGACUCCAGAGCCAUUUCAACUGGUGAAAUAGUGUUGUGUUUUGUGCAUUUUUUUUUUGUUUUAAAUUAAAUGCUCUGAGACACUUGACCUUUCUGGCAAAUGAAGGGCAAACACUGCUUUACUCUCAUUUCAUGUCACAAUUAUAAGUCUCUAGAUAUUUAAAAUGGUCUUGAGCAGAUUGUUUUUGGUUCAUAAGCCAUUAUUUCCCUAUUAAAAAGGAAAAAUAACUUCUUUGUCAUUGAAUGGAUUUCUUUAAGUCAAUAAAGCUGAAAAAAAAAGGACUUUAUUUAAUCCAUCCAUGUUUCACUCUGGAGAAGCGUCAAGACAUCUUGGUCCCUUAUUCCUAACUUCUUCAUUUAAACAUCACAUACUUCAUUUAAAAUAUAUGUUCAGGUAUAACAACUUAAAAUGUCCACUUUUAAAUGAUGAGGUAGACAUCUGGAAACUUCCUUUCCUAUUUCAUGAACAUGGGAAAUAAGACAUGGUUCCAUGCAAUCAUUGAUGGGAUUCAGCCCUACUGGUUUUAGAAUCUUUUCUUUCUUUCUUUCUUUUCUUUCUUUCUUUUCUUUGAUGAAGCGUUGUUCUGAGUUAUUAUACAAUUUAUUAAGAAAUCUCUGUUAGUAGCAAUUUGGGUGACAGAGUUUGGCCUAGCUUUGUAUAAUCUGAAGCUCAAAGAUCUACUGUUUUCUUUCCUUCUUCUUCUUUUUCAAUACUUCUUUACCUGGAACAGAACCUUACAGAGAAUAGUCACUUAAUAAAUCCUUUUAUCUUUUCCCUACUUUGAAGUAAAUGGUGUACACUUAAAGGAAAAAGUGGCAUUAAGGAUAAAAGAGAGAGAGGAGGUGAUUACUGAAGUCAAAAUCUGAUGGCAGUGAUUGAAACUAAUAAAGAACAUAGGUUAAAACAGUAAAUGAACAAUAAUACUGAAUAUGAAAUCAAAAGAAAUGAUUUAAGCCCUAUGGAUUCCCAUGAAACAAUACAGUG